AAUCCGUGAUGUGGGCAGCAUCUCAAAAGAUCUUUAAAUCUCUCCCAUGCAUCGUACAUGCUUUCAACAUCUUUAAAAUAGCCGUGCUUGAGGAU
rnacentral:snoRNA from 1 species